UACGUAGGGGGCUAGCGUUGUCCGGAAUCAUUGGGCGUAAAGAGCGUGUAGGCGGCCCGGUAAGUCCGCUGUAAAAGUCAAAGGCUCAACCUUUGAAUGUCAGUGGAUACUGCCGGGCUAGAGUCCGGAAGAGGCGAGUGGAACUCCUGGUGUAGCGGUGGAAUGCGCAGAUAUCAGGAAGAACACCAACGGCGAAGGCAGCUCGCUGGGACGGUACUGACGCUGAGACGCGAAAAGCGUGGGGGAGCGAAACAGGG
rnacentral:rRNA from 1 species